rnacentral:pre_miRNA from 1 species
GUUUCUCAAGUUUGAUCUCAAGUAAGACUUGUUGUUUCUUACACUUUUGAUUUGACAGAACUAGC